rnacentral:rRNA from 1 species
CCUACGGGAGGCAGCAGUGGGGAAUAUUGCGCAAUGGCCGAAAGGCUGACGCAGCGACGCCGCGUGGGGGAUGAAGCAUUUCGGUGUGUAAACCCCUGUUGCUCGAGACGAACAAGCCUUUUCGAGGGCUCUGACGGUACCGAGUGAGGAAGCACCGGCUAACUCCGUGCCAGCAGCCGCGGUAAUACGGAGGGUGCGAGCGUUGUCCGGAAUCACUGGGCGUAAAGGGCGCGUAGGCGGUCUGCUAAGCGUGUGGUGAAAGCUCGGGGCUCAACCCCGAGUCGGCCAUGCGAACUGGUGGACUCGAGCACUGUAGAGGCAGGUGGAAUUCCGGGUGUAGCGGUGGAAUGCGUAGAGAUCCGGAAGAACACCGGUGGCGAAGGCGGCCUGCUGGGCAGUAGCUGACGCUGAGGCGCGAUAGCGUGGGGAGCAAACAGGAUUAGAUACCCUGGUAGUCCACGCCGUAAACGAUGGGUACUAGGUGCUUGGGGGAGCGACCCCCCGAGUGCCGGCGCUAACGCAUUAAGUACCCCGCCUGGGGAGUACGACCGCAAGGUUGAAACUCAAAGGAAUUGACGG